rnacentral:rRNA from 1 species
GCAUAUGUCCCCAACACUAAUGCAUUGGAUCUCAUCAUAACUCUAGAAUUAUGCGUGUCCACGUGCUUGGACAUGAGUAGUACUAUGAUUGGUAACCCCUUGGGAGUUCCUUGUGUUGCAUCCC